rnacentral:lncRNA from 10 species
AGCUGGCCUGCAAGCGCCGCCCGCAGCCGCGGUUCCCGCCGGCGCCUCUCCCUCCACACCUCCCUGCAAGCUGAGGGAGUGGGCUCCGGCCUUGGCCAGCCCAGAAAGGGGCCCCCACAGUGCAGCGGUGGGCUGAAGGGCUCCCCAGGUGCAUCCAAAGUGGGAGCCCAGGCAGAGGAGGCGCCGAGAGCGAGAGAGGGCUGUGAGGACUGCCAGCACGCUGUCACCUCUCAGAACCAGGGGAGAAACCUGAGAAGUGUCUUUCAGCACACUACCUGGAUCCUAAUGGCUACUUCUGCAGAGAGAACACCAGAGGGGAAAGGAAUCUAUCAGAAGGCAAGGAGUUUCCCUCAACAAGCUCUCUUCUCUUGUCUGCUGCCAUGUGAAAUGUGCCUUUCACCUUCCACCAUGAUUGUGAGACCCCCCCGCCCACAUGGAACU